GCUUUCCUUCGGGGUCAGGUGAAAUUCCUAACCGGCGGUGAUCGGCAGGUGCAGGGGGAUCGGAUAACCGAACUUCUGUGCUUGUCGUCAGUCCGUGACCCGGUCUAAGAUGCUUUUACUCGGAGUUAUCCGAAUAAAAUGCGGAUUGGAACGGUGGACCUGGUGUAAAUCCGGGACCGACAGUACAGUCUGGAUGGGAGAAGGGGAUG
rnacentral:ncRNA from 2 species